rnacentral:rRNA from 1 species
AGAGUUUGAUCAUGGCUCAGGACGAACGCUGGCGGCGUGCUUAAUACAUGCAAGUAGAACGCUGAAGACUGGUGCUUGCACUAGUCAGAUGAGUUGCGAACGGGUGAGUAACGCGUAGGUAACCUACCUUAUAGCGGGGGAUAACUAUUGGAAACGAUAGCUAAUACCGCAUGACAAUUAAGUACUCAUGUACUAAAUUUAAAAGGAGCAAUUGCUUCACUAUGAGAUGGACCUGCGUUGUAUUAGCUAGUUGGUGAGGUAACGGCUCACCAAGGCCACGAUACAUAGCCGACCUGAGAGGGUGAUCGGCCACACUGGGACUGAGACACGGCCCAGACUCCUACGGGAGGCAGCAGUAGGGAAUCUUCGGCAAUGGGGGCAACCCUGACCGAGCAACGCCGCGUGAGUGAAGAAGGUCUUCGGAUCGUAAAGCUCUGUUGUUAGAGAAGAACGGUAAUGGGAGUGGAAAAUCCAUUACGUGACGGUAACUAACCAGAAAGGGACGGCUAACUACGUGCCAGCAGCCGCGGUAAUACGUAGGUCUCGAGCGUUGUCCGGAUUUAUUGGGCGUAAAGCGAGCGCAGGCGGUUAUUUAAGUCUGAAGUUGAAGGCCGUGGCUCAACCAUGGUUCGCUUUGGAAACUGGAUAACUUGAGUGCAGAAGGGGAGAGUGGAAUUCCAUGUGUAGCGGUGAAAUGCGUAGAUAUAUGGAGGGACACCGGUGGCGAAAGCGGCUCUCUGGUCUGUAACUGACGCUGAGGCUCGAAAGCGUGUGGAGCAAACAGGAUUAGAUACCCUGGUAGUCCACGCCGUAAACGAUGAGUGCUAGGUGUUAGGCCCUUUCCGGGGCUUAGUGCCGCAGCU